GACGAACGCUGGCGGCGUGCUUAACACAUGCAAGUCGAACGGAAAGGCCUGUCCUUCCUUGUGUUGGACGGGUACUCGAGUGGCGAACGGGUGAGUAACACGUGAGUGAUCUGCCCCCAACUUGGGUAUAAGCCUGGGAAACUGGGUCUAAUUCCCGAUAGGACUGCAGGGUGGUGCCUGUGGUGGAAAACGAUUUUCUAGUGGUUGGGGAUGAGCUCGCGGCCUAUCAGCUUGUUGGUGGGGUAAUGGCCUACCAAGGCGGCGACGGGUAGCCGGCCUGAGAGGGUGGACGGCCACAUUGGGACUGAGAUACGGCCCAGACUCCUACGGGAGGCAGCAGUGGGGAAUAUUGCACAAUGGGCGGAAGCCUGAUGCAGCGACGCCGCGUGGGGGAUGACGGCCUUCGGGUUGUAAACUCCUUUCGACCGCGAGGAAGCCGCCUGGUUGGAAGGGUGGUGACGGUAGUGGUGGAAGAAGCACCGGCUAACUACGUG
rnacentral:rRNA from 1 species